AGACCCAGCCUCGAACAAAGUUAAAGCCUGAAAAGGCGAAGAACUCGGACCGCGGUGGUCUUUGGGCUUUGGAUCCCUGGCCGGGGUUGUCUUCAGCCGGUAGUUUGCCUAGAGGAAGAACAAAUAAAUUUUGUGUAACCCA